rnacentral:rRNA from 1 species
UACGAAGGGGGCUAGCGUUGUUCGGAAUUACUGGGCGUAAAGCGCGCGCAGGCGGUCUUCCAAGUCAGUGGUGAAAGCCUGGAGCUCAACUCCAGAACUGCCAUUGAAACUGUUAGACUUGAGUACGAGAGAGGCGAGUGGAAUUCCUGGUGUAGCGGUGGAAUGCGCAGAUAUCAGGAGGAACACCAAUAGCGAAGGCAGCUCGCUGGGACGUUACUGACACUGAGGCGCGAAAGCGUGGGGAGCGAACAGG